rnacentral:rRNA from 1 species
UACGUAGGGGGGCUAGCGUUGUCCGGAAUCAUUGGGCGUAAAGAGCGUGUAGGCGGCCUGGUAAGUCCGCUGUAAAAAGUCAAAGGCUCAACCUUUGAAUGUCAGUGGAUACUGCCGGGCUAGAGUCCGGAAGAGGCGAGUGGAACUCCUGGUGUAGCGGUGGAAUGCGCAGAUAUCAGGAAGAACACCAACGGCGAAGGCAGCUCGCUAGGACGGUACUGACGCUGAGACGCGAAAGCGUGGGGGAGCGAACAGG